UACGUAGGGGGCAAGCGUUGUCCGGAUUUAUUGGGCGUAAAGCGCUCGCAGGUGGUUCGUUGCGUCGUGCGUGAAAGACCCCGGCUCAACUGGGGAGGGUCGUGCGAUACGGGCGGACUGGAGGCCAGUAGGGGGAUGCGGAAUUCCGGGUGUAGUGGUGGAAUGCGUAGAGAUCCGGAGGAACACCAGCGGCGAAGGCGGCAUCCUGGACUGGUCCUGACACUCAUGAGCGAAAGCGUGGGGAGCGAUCCGG
rnacentral:rRNA from 1 species